UACGAAGGGGGCUAGCGUUGCUCGGAAUUACUGGGCGUAAAGCGCACGUAGGCGGCUUCUUAAGUCGGUGGUGAAAUCCUGGAGCUCAACUCCAGAACUGCCUCGAUACUGGGAGCUCGAGUCCGGGAGAGGUGAGUGGAACUGCGAGUGUAGAGGUGAAAUUCGUAGAUAUUCGCAAGAACACCAGUGGCGAAGGCGGCUCACUGGCCCGGUACUGACGCUGAGGUGCGAAAGCGUGGGGAGCAAACAGG
rnacentral:rRNA from 1 species